GGUUGUUUGGCCAAUUUCGGUCGCAUUUCCAGCAGUCGUCGAUGGGGUUCCCGGUGUAGCAAGAAGAAGAUUCAUCUUUCUCUGAGAUUUGGAGCAAUUGCCUUCUCGUUAAGGAAGCAUUCACUUUCCUGCAACAGGGCUAGGAUGCUGGCCAGGGAGAGUGAGGUUGAGAGCGGCGGAGGUGGUGGCAGCGGCACGGAGCGGCAAGCGGGAGGGUAGCAGCAAAGCUAGCAGCACAAUGCAGGUUGUGGCCAGCAUUUCGGAGAGCAAAAAUGGUAAGCUCUCUCACUCAGUCUCUCUACAGGCUUAGAAAACUGCUGUGCAGUUGUGUGUUACGUUUGUUGUGUUUUGAGUGGAGAACUGUUUUUCAACUGUUUUUCUUCAUUUUUCUUCCUUCCAUGUUACCCUCAAAAGCAUUCUCAGCUCUCAUUCUGUCUAAUAUAAUCAUUGUCAGAGACUUUUGGGAUUCAGUUAGUGAGAGAAUGGGGGGAGAGAGAAUCUUUGGUUCUCGAGGAGGGAAAGUUGUAUCCAAUUUACUUUUGAAGGGAAACGGGUUAAUUUCAUUUGGGUUUUCUUUUAGUUCCACAAAGUGAGACGGAGAGAUCCCAUCCUUGGCCUCUUCUAAUCUAAACAUACCUUAAUUUGUUGGUGUUAAGUUUGGUACAAAUAAGGACUCGGGGGAGAAUUUUAACCUUCUAAACUCAAAUUAAAUACUAAUUUAUAAUUCUCACUUUAAA